rnacentral:rRNA from 1 species
GACGGAGGGUGCUAGCGUUGUUCGGAUUGACUGGGCGUAAAGGGCGUGUAGGCGGUUGGCCCAGUCCGGUGUGAAAGCCCGAGGCUUAGCCUCGGAAGUGCAUCGGAAACUAGCCGACUGGAGCGCGAUAGAGGAGGGUGGAAUUCCUGGUGUAGCGGUGAAAUGCGCAGAUAUCAGGAGGAACACCGGUGGCGAAGGCGGGUCUCUGGGCCGAUACUGACGCUGAGGAGCGAAAGCGUGGGGAGCGAACAGG